rnacentral:rRNA from 1 species
CCUGGUAGUCCACGCCGUAAACGAUGCUAACUCGUUUUUGGGUUUUCGGAUUCAGAGACUAAGCGAAAGUGAUAAGUUAGCCACCUGGGGAGUACGUUCGCAAGAAUGAAACUCAAAGGAAUUGACGGGGGCCCGCACAAGCGGUGGAUUAUGUGGUUUAAUUCGAUGAUACGCGAGGAACCUUACCAAGGCUUAAAUGGGAAUUGACAGGUUUAGAAAUAGACUUUUCUUCGGACAAUUUUCAAGGUGCUGCAUGGUUGUCGUCAGCUCGUGCCGUGAGGUGUUAGGUUAAGUCCUGCAACGAGCGCAACCCCUGUCACUAGUUGCUAGCAUUAAGUUGAGGACUCUAGUGAGACUGCCUACGCAAGUAGAGAGGAAGGUGGGGAUGACGUCAAAUCAUCACGGCCCUUACGCCUUGGGCCACACACGUAAUACAAUGGCCGGUACAGAGGGCAGCUACACAGCGAUGUGAUGCAAAUCUCGAAAGCCGGUCUCAGUUCGGAUUGGAGUCUGCAACUCGACUCUAUGAAGCUGGAAUCGCUAGUAAUCGCGCAUCAGCCAUGGCGCGGUGAAUACGUUCCCGGGCCUUGUACACACCGCCCGUCAAGCCAUGGAAGUCUGGGGUACCUGAAGUCGGUGACCGUAACAGGAGCUGCCUAGGGUAAAACAGGUAACUAGGGCUAAGUC